UCGCGGCACGGAAAACCCCAUCCGGAGCAAGGCCAAAUAGGGAAGCAGCGGGGCGACCCGCGCGUGCGGUCCGCACGGCUUCCGGGUAGGCCGCUUGAGGCGCGCGGCGACGCGCGUCCCAGAGGAAUGGCUGUCCACGACAGAACCCGGCUUACAGGCCGGCUCCUUUU
rnacentral:RNase_P_RNA from 1 species